GACGAACGCUGGCGGCGUGCUUAACACAUGCAAGUCGAACGGAAAGGCCCUGCUUUUGUGGGGUGCUCGAGUGGCGAACGGGUGAGUAACACGUGAGUAACCUGCCCUUGACUUUGGGAUAACUUCAGGAAACUGGGGCUAAUACCGGAUAGGAGCUCCUGCUGCAUGGUGGGGGUUGGAAAGUUUCGGCGGUUGGGGAUGGACUUGCGGCUUAUCAGCUUGUUGGUGGGGUAGUGGCUUACCAAGGCUUUGACGGGUAGCCGGCCUGAGAGGGUGACCGGCCACAUUGGGACUGAGAUACGGACCAGACUCCUACGGGAGGCAGCAGUGGGGAAUAUUGCACAAUGGGCGGAAGCCUGAUGCAGCAACGCCGCGUGCGGGAUGACGGCCUUCGGGUUGUAAACCGCUUUCGCCUGUGACGAAGCGUGAGUGACGGUAAUGGGUAAAGAAGCACCGGCUAACUACGUG
rnacentral:rRNA from 1 species